AUACUUAGCUGGCAGAGGAGAUACCAUGAUCACGAAGGUGGUUUUCCCAGGGCAAGGCUUAUCCAUUGCACUCAGGAUGUGCUGACCCCUGCAAUUUCCCCAAAUGUGGGAAACUCAACUGCAUAACUUGUGAUAGUGACAGACUGCGUUCUCACUUUCC
ensembl:snRNA U1 U1 spliceosomal RNA